rnacentral:rRNA from 1 species
GAUGAACGCUGGCGGCGUGCCUAAUACAUGCAAGUCGAGCGAACAGACGAGGAGCUUGCUCCUCUGACGUUAGCGGCGGACGGGUGAGUAACACGUGGAUAACCUACCUAUAAGACUGGGAUAACUUCGGGAAACCGGAGCUAAUACCGGAUAACAUGUUGAACCGCAUGGUUCAACAGUGAAAGACGGUCUUGCUGUCACUUAUAGAUGGAUCCGCGCCGCAUUAGCUAGUUGGUAGGGUAACGGCUUACCAAGGCAACGAUGCGUAGCCGACGGGAGAGGGGGAUAGGCCACCCUGGAACGGAGACAGGGUCCAGACUACUACGGGAGGGAGCAGUAGGCAAUCGUCCGCAAUGGGCGAAAGCCUGACGGAGCAACGGCGAGUGAGUGAAGAAGGUCUUCGGAUCGUAAAAAUCUGUUAUGAGGGAAGAACAAAUGUGUAAGUAACUAUGCACGUCUUGACGGUACCUAAUCAGAAAGCCACGGCUAACUACGUG